UUAAAUCAUCUUUCGAUCCCAUACAGUUAGAUUAAUUUUGUCUGAGUCAUUAAUAGAAUAUUGAGAAAACUUGGCUUCCCUUUAAGUGGCAACCGGCAUAUCAAAUUCUGGUCCAGCAGAAUACAAGACAUUAUGGACUUCAGAUAAGAGCGAGAGAAGUCAGACCCCACCCCAGCCGGCCUCAUGAUCACGGAAAAGAAGAAAGGCAUGGGUCUCCGGUGUGUUCAGGUCACGCUGGUCAUCAUCAACAGCCUGUUUGCGUUACUUGGCUUAGCUCUCUUCAUCCUGGGAUGUUUGGUCAAGUUUGGCUCCGACAACAUAGAACAACAUUUGUCGGACAGCUUAUCAGGCACUUCCAGGUGAGCUCCUUUAUAGUA